rnacentral:misc_RNA from 1 species
CUUCACAUCUGGGCUCAGG